GCACACUCACAGGCACACAAAGAUGUCUUCCAUCCACUGGUUCAUGGCCCACGUGCCCUCAAUAGCCAGGGCUGGUCCAGGCUGAAAGCAGGAGCCAGGAGCUCUGUCUGUGUCCCGCGUGUGGGUGACCGUGGCCUAGGUCUGUGUCCCCCGUGUGGGUGACCAUGCCUUCCUAGGUCUGUGUCCCCCGUCUGUGUCAGAAGAAGAGGAGCUAGCACUCGGGCUAGCCUUCUGGUGUGGGCUUUGAGGGUCCUAAGCCGUCUUCACCGUACCGCAGCCUGGCACCAGUCAGGAGGUAUCUGUGGUGUGGAGCCCGUUGACUGUAGCAGGCGGGCAUCGUGGCAUUUUAGACCGACCUGCC